UGCAAUGAGAGUUGUGCUAAGGUAGCAUAAUCAUUAGUUUUUUAAUUGGAAACUUGUAUGAAUGGUUGAACAAAAGAAUCACUGUCUCUUUAUUUAAUAUUGAACUUAACUUUUAAGUGAAAAGGCUUAAAUUUUUUAAGGGGACGAUAAGACCCUAUAAAGCUUUAUAAUGAAAUAAUAUUUUAUAAAUAUAAUUUAUAAAAAUAAAAUAAAAUGACCUUAUUUUGUUGGGGCGACAUAGAUAUAAAUAUAUUAUAUAACUGUCAAUAAAUAAAACAUAAAUUUAUGAAUAAUAAAGU
rnacentral:rRNA from 1 species